GAUGAAGAACGUAGCGAAAUGCGAUAAGUAGUGUGAAUUGCAGAAUUUAGUGAAUCAUCGAGUCUUUGAACGCACAUUGCGCCCCCUGGUAUUCCGGGGGGCAUGCCUGUCCGAGCGUCAUUGCUGCCCUCAAGCACGGCUUGUGUGUUGGGCCUCCGUCCUCCUCCCGGGGGACGGGCCCGAAAGGCAGCGGCGGCACCGCGUCCGGUCCUCGAGCGUAUGGGGCUUCGUCACCCGCUCUUGUAGGCCCGGCCGGCGCUUGCCGACACAUCAAUCUUUUUUCCAGGUUGACCUCGGAUCAGGUAGGGAUACCCGCUGAACUUAAGCAUAUCAAUAAGCGGAGGA
rnacentral:misc_RNA from 1 species